UGUGUACUGUCUUUUUUAAGACGCCUGAGAUGCGCUUUAUUUGUACGUCAUCAUUGUGUAACUCUCAGUUUGUGCUCUCCAAGCUGAGAGAAGAGACUCAUGUAGCAGAUGAUCACCCCAUGUGCUGUGACUCAUUUUAUUUUUCUUUGCAAUUACCCAGGGGAUAAGUAAAGUCAACCGGUGUGACAACAGUGGUCAGUGCCAUUAUUUCAACAUAUAACACAACGCAGAGUACACUAACCCCGCCGACGGCCAAGGAGUG